rnacentral:snRNA from 1 species
GUGCUCACUUCGGCAGCACAUACACUAAAAUUGGAAUGAGAAAGAGAAGGUUAGUGUGGCCCCUGCGCAAGGUCCACACACAAACAUUUUUAGCUUUAUUGAAGUAU